GCCCCGUUAGCCAAGUUGGUUAAGGCCCCGCUCUCAUAAAGCGGUCAUUCGUCGGUUCGAGCCCGACACGGGGCA
rnacentral:tRNA from 5 species